AAUGGACAGUGCUAUAAUGAUGUCCAUGAAGAGACGAGCUAGAGGAGGGGAAAAUAAUACAUGUCCCUGGUUAAAGCUGCUGCUUACGGCCGGGUGCAGUGGCUCACGCUUGUAAUCCCAGCACUUUGGGAGGCCGAGGCGGGUGGAUCAUCUGAGGUCAGGAGUUCGAGACCAGCCUGACCAACAUGGUGAAACCCCAUCUCUACUAAAAAAAUACACAAUUAGCCAGGCGUGGUGGCACAUGCUUGUAAUCCCAGCUACUCAGGAGGCUGAGGCAGAAGAAUCGCUUGAACCCGGGAGGCAGAGGUUGCAGUGAGCUGAGAUAGUGCCAUUGCACUCCAGCGUGGGCGACAGAGCGAAACCCCGUCUCCAAAUAAAUAAAUAAAGCUGCUGCUUACUUCUUAGUCCAUGAAAAGGAAAGGAAUGCCUAUAUUUCUAUCACGUGGAGGCACAGGAUAUAAAGUGACAGAUUCAUGCUAGUCAGCCUUAUAGGCAUUCUGCAGAUGAGAAAAUAAUAAGGGGUGUUAGGUAACAUGGGGUACCUUAAAACGGCGCCGUACCUUAAGAUGGGGCCGGUUCCGGGUUCUUCUCCCCUCCUUGACCGGGCACUGUCUGAACCCGCCAAAGGAGGGCCAAUCAGAAAGAAGCAUCUCCCGCCUUCCCUUUGGCCCACCCCUAGCCCAAUCCAUGUAGGCCCAAGGGAUAUAAAACCCAGCACACCAGCAGCCCUCUCUCUCUUCUCUUCCUUCUCCUUGCGUGGUGCCGCUCGAUACCUCCAAUAAAGAGCUCUUGCCCGCGACCGGUGUAGUUUGGUCUCCGCCCGGCCCCUUUCAAGGGGCAAGUUAUUAAAACCAGACUUCAAAAGGGAGACAGCAGAAUCCAUCAUUCAAACUACUAUAGCAGAUUGUCACGCUGUGGUUACAUCUGCUUCUCAGGCAUAUUCCAUGGAAGGGUGUUCCACGGACUGAUCAACAAUAACAAUUUUAUCAGUAUAAUUGGGAGGAGAAAAUAAAACAGGAGACGUUCCCUGGUCAGUGGGAAAGUAUAGCUUUCAACUCUUCUUGGGCUUGUAGAGCCUGCCGAAGUGUCACAGAAUCUCCUGCCUAGGAAAACCACAAUUUCAUAAUCUUUGCUCACGCUUUUUGCCCCGUAGUUGAUUUUCAGUGGUCUGCCACAUGGAGGUUUAUGGCCAGCACUCUGAUUGAUCAAGGCCAUGCUGUAU